ACAAGGAAAAUAACUUGCUAUUCAUUGGUUAUUAGCGGUAUCACAAAAACCUCCGAGUCAAAAUAUGGCUUUCAAAUUAAGUUUUGAAAUGAAAAACUCUAAUCAACGAUUAUACUUUACUAGAUUGUCUGUUAGGACUGAUGUUGAAGAAUCAGCAGAUGAGUUGUGGUUAGGGGUGAUAUACCACUCGAACCAAGGGCUAGCUGGUUCUCCCCAAAAUACGUUGAGGCGCAGCAGUUGACUAGACAUCUAGGGGUAAAACACUAAUUCGGUGCGGGCCACAAGAGAGGUACCAAAUUGAGGAAAACUCUGAAUGCUAGAUAUGACCUUAAAAUAACAAGGGUCAAGGUCAGCUAGUGUGACGAUGGAGGAUAAGAUUCAUUGUUGAGAGGAAAACAACCCGAAUCACUAGCUAAGUCCCCUAAAUGACCGCUCAGUGAUAAAGGAGGUAGGGGUGCAGAGACAGCCAAGAGGUUUUCCUAGAAGCAACCACCCUUGAAAGAGUGCAUAGUAGCUCAUUGAUCGAGCGUUCUUGCAUCGAAUAUGAAUGGGGCUAAGCGUUCUACCAAAGCUAUGGGAUGUAAAAAUACAUCGGUAGGGUAGCAUUCUGCCUUAGAGAGAAGCCUCCGCGCGAGCGGUGGUGGACGAAGCGAAAGCGAGGAUGU
rnacentral:ncRNA from 1 species